GGUGAGUAAUGCCUAGGAAAUUGCCCUGAUGUGGGGGAUAACCAUUGGAAACGAUGGCUAAUACCGCAUAAUGCCUACGGGCCAAAGAGGGGGACCUUCGGGCCUCUCGCGUCAGGAUAUGCCUAGGUGGGAUUAGCUAGUUGGUGAGGUAAGGGCUCACCAAGGCGACGAUCCCUAGCUGGUCUGAGAGGAUGAUCAGCCACACUGGAACUGAGACACGGUCCAGACUCCUACGGGAGGCAGCAGUGGGGAAUAUUGCACAAUGGGCGCAAGCCUGAUGCAGCCAUGCCGCGUGUGUGAAGAAGGCCUUCGGGUUGUAAAGCACUUUCAGUCGUGAGGAAGGUAGUGUAGUUAAUAGCUGCAUUAUUUGACGUUAGCGACAGAAGAAGCACCGGCUAACUCCGUGCCAGCAGCCGCGGUAAUACGGAGGGUGCGAGCGUUAAUCGGAAUUACUGGGCGUAAAGCGCAUGCAGGUGGUUUGUUAAGUCAGAUGUGAAAGCCCGGGGCUCAACCUCGGAAUUGCAUUUGAAACUGGCAGACUAGAGUACUGUAGAGGGGGGUAGAAUUUCAGGUGUAGCGGUGAAAUGCGUAGAGAUCUGAAGGAAUACCGGUGGCGAAGGCGGCCCCCUGGACAGAUACUGACACUCAGAUGCGAAAGCGUGGGGAGCAAACAGGAUUAGAUACCCUGGUAGUCCACGCCGUAAACGAUGUCUACUUGGAGGUUGUGGCCUUGAGCCGUGGCUUUCGGAGCUAACGCGUUAAGUAGACCGCCUGGGGAGUACGGUCGCAAGAUUAAAACUC
rnacentral:rRNA from 1 species